CAUAGGCUCGUGCGCUAAAGAAGGAUAGGUGUUAUAAUAGGGAGGGGAGAAGCAGGCCUUUGGGAGGUCAGGUCAUAGGCAGCAAGGGGGAGCGGUAGCAGGGCGCGGGGCAGGUACCGGUGGCGGUGCGAGGGAGAGGCGGAGGAGGGGAGCUCUUGGGGUGAGGAGAUGUGGCGGCGGAAGGAGGGACGCUCGUGGAGAGAGAGCCAGUGGCGCAGGCGCGGGGCGUUGACCGCGUAGAAGCGGCGGCGGCUCCUCCGCGGGCGAGGCCACCUUCGGCUCCGUCUCCUCCACCAUCUCCUACGGCGCCAAGGCCUCGGACAACUCCACGUCGACCGACGACGACCGCGCCCCUUCCUGCGGCUGUAGAAGCGGCAACAGUACUAACCCAGGUCUGUUAUGUAACACUACGGUCCAGCCAUGUAUAUGUGUGUCUCCGACUUUCUGCGGUUACAGUUACUAGUCUAGUAAAACUUGUUCCAUGAUGACCACAGUUGAUCUCUGUUUCGAAUAUAACCGUACGGUCACCACUGGUUACGACGACAAGUACGUUAACAACUUCUUGUCCCUGACCUGCUAUUUCACUAACAAAAGUUCAAGUUCUUCUUCUUCUUCAUGGUCUCCUUUCGACCAGUGUCUGUCGGUUUAUGCUCCAAUUCUUAAUGGCCGUAUUCACCUAUACUCCUUAAGGGACGACUAGGUUAUGAAGUUCAAGGUCGAAUUCACAUUAACAUUCAACAAAUCAAUGUUUACGAACCAUAAUGUAAUCUCACGUUCUCGUAAAAGGGGUGACAAGGGGUUCACUCCGAGAAGGGGUUCAAUUACAUGAGCUUUACGACGGUAAGCAACUCACCAACCAAGGUAGGAAAACAAAUAAGGUGGUCGAGAACAGAAGGAAACUUUAGGUUAACAUAAUAGAACUAACACGUCUUUCUGUCCCCUUUCGUAAAUUAAUGUUACACCUGUACAAUCGAAACCUAACACGUUAAAGU
rnacentral:rRNA from 1 species